rnacentral:rRNA from 1 species
GUGCCAGCCGCCGCGGUAAUACGUAGGUCCCGAGCGUUGUCCGGAUUUAUUGGGCGUAAAGCGAGCGCAGGCGGUUUGAUAAGUCUGAAGUUAAAGGCUGUGGCUCAACCAUAGUUCGCUUUGGAAACUGUCAAACUUGAGUGCAGAAGGGGAGAGUGGAAUUCCAUGUGUAGCGGUGAAAUGCGUAGAUAUAUGGAGGAACACCGGUGGCGAAAGCGGCUCUCUGGUCUGUAACUGACGCUGAGGCUCGAAAGCGUGGGGAGCGAGCAGGAUUAGAAACCCCGGUAGUCC